UUAUUAGAAGUCCACGCAAUCUCAUGAAGCACCUGCAGGCCAUAAAACCUCACAUGUGUGAGGCCUUGAGGAAAUUAACGGCUCCUCCCUGGGGGUGCAUAUUUUGUGAAGAUGUUUAUUACAGAUGAAGUGCUCCUGGGGUGGAACAUUAACAAGUUGUAGAGUGAUAAAAGGAUUUUUAUCCUUUUUCAGUGACAGAGACCAUUACCGAGAUGAAAGCCCAGAGAAUGCCUUUGGACCACGACUGCGGGAUCUAAUUGAAUUAUAUGAACGCAGUUAAACGCCUGCUUCAGAGAGGCAGGGCUUGCUUUCAAGACUGGAUGCUUCAGGAGUUAAUGGGCUAUUUGAACAAUAUAGGCCGAGAGCCGAACACAGGUCUCAUCUCUCAUCCCUCCUCCACUGUGCGGACCGUCAGCCAGGAAUGCCUCCCUCUAUCUCCCAUGGACACCCCUCCAUCCUGAGUCCUCAAUCCUGCUGGAGUCAAUUUAAAUGCAACCUCCUCCAGUUCCACAUCCCAUGACAUCAUGGGUCACUUGAAAUCAACCACAGUUGGAGUAUUUACACCAGGGAAAUUGGCAAACUCUACAAAUCAGGGACAUGCCCAUCCCAACCAGCAACCUGACUAUCCAUCAGCAUAAAUUCAACCACUCAUCUUGCCCGGCUGACUGACUCCAGGAAAAGAUCCAAGCUCCUUGCCAUCAUCCAAGGCAUCCCCCACCCCCAGCCUGCUGGUGGAGUCUACUGGUUCUAAGCCUCAUCUCCUGCCUCCCUCCUCAAGUUUGCUCUGUUCCCAGCAAUGCCAAACUGUUUGAAGUUAUUGAACAUAUGCUUCUAGAUGGUGUUCUAGUACUAGGACCACAAGAGUGAACAAAGUCCCUAUUCUCUUGAAACUCCCAU